UACGUAGGGGGCAAGCGUUGUCCGGAAUCAUUGGGCGUAAAGCGCGUGUAGGCGGCCCGAUAAGUCCGCUGUGAAAGUCCAGGGCUCAACCCUGGAAAGCCGGUGGAUACUGUCGGGCUAGAGUCCGGAAGAGGCGAGUGGAAUUCCUGGUGUAGCGGUGGAAUGCGCAGAUAUCAGGAGGAACACCAACGGCGAAGGCAGCUCGCUGGGACGGUACUGACGCUAAGACGCGAAAGCGUGGGGAGCGAACAGG
rnacentral:rRNA from 1 species